UACGUAGGUGACAAGCGUUGUCCGGAUUUACUGGGCGUAAAGCGCGUGUAGGCGGCUUUGCAAGUCGGAUGUGAAAUCCCACGGCUCAACCGUGGAAGUGCAUCCGAAACGGCAUGGCUGGAGUCCCGGAGAGGAAGGUGGAAUGCUUGGUGUAGAGGUGAAAUUCGUAGAUAUCAAGCAGAACACCCUGCGGCGAAGGCGGCCUUCUAGGACGGUGACUGACGCUGAGACGCGAAAGCGUGGGGAGCAAACAGG
rnacentral:rRNA from 1 species